rnacentral:lncRNA from 1 species
CCCGAUCUCUCGGGCGGAAGCUACCUACAACGAAUGAUAUGAAAGCGCGUCGAUCGUUCGCUACACUCUAUGUCUCAAUCUCUCGACCGAAAACACUCGAGUGCUCAAUGCAAUUCAGUUCAGAAAUUAAAUCAAUACUCUCGCACGUGACUUAACUCGAAAUCAUUACAACACUAAUGAAGGAUUAUAAAGCAUUAAACAUAGAAUUGCAUUGAAUAAACACUGUUACAGAGUAAAUCCUUACAAUUAAGCAGAUUACAUAAGAUUCAUCUACAUCCUAAGCUAUCCUAGAUCCUACCUCCAAAAGAAGCUCAGCUCCUCAUGUUGCUUUCUUCGCGUCCUCGCUUCAACUUCAUGGCUUGAUGAUCCAUGCUAUUGAGGUGCUCGGAG